rnacentral:tRNA from 1 species
GAGCCUGUGGCGCAAUGGAUAACGCGUCUGACUUCGGAUCAGAAGAUUCCAGGUUCAAAUCCUGGCAGGCUCG